AUGGCGUCGUUGUGUGACAUGUUUUUGAGCCAGGAGCUGGCGGCGGCCGCGGCCAUGUCGGCGGACGCGUACGGGAGGUUCGAAAGGUACAGUAUGAGCUCUGCCCAUGGUUUUCCCCAGUACCAGCAAGCUGGUAACGCUCCGACCGGAUUCCCCGACACGGGAUUUCUCGUUUCCGGCUUCGGCAAGCCUCCCACCAUCUUCAUCAUGCCGGCGGGGACCCACGCGGCCGCUGGUUAUGGCGCUGAGGCCGUCCCGGUGGAGAUCCCCGUGGUCCGGCGACAGACACCUGCCUCCAGGAACGCCAGGGCGACGCCGUUCAGAGGACCGUGGACGGAGGAAGAGGACGAACUUCUCAGGAGAUUGGUAGAUGAGCAUGGAGAGCACAAGUGGGCGACCAUUUCAAAGCACCUCCCGGGACGGAUCGGCAAGCAGUGCCGUGAGCGAUGGACAAAUCACGUGCGCCCCGGCAUCAAGAAGGACCACAUCUGGACUGAGGCGGACGACAUACUGCUGAUCGACGCGCACAAGAUCCACGGAAACCGUUGGUCGACGAUCGCGAGGUGCCUCCCCGGCCGGUCGGAGAACGCCAUCAAGAACCACUGGAACGCGACAAAGCGGAGCCUCAAGUCGAAGCGCCGGCUAAAGAAGAAGACAAGCCAACAAGCCGCCCCGGGGCAGUUCACCCUCCUCGAGGAGUACAUCCGCGACAAAACGAUGGCUGACGAGAACGUGGCGCCACCGUCUCCGUCGUCCGGCCUCGGGUAUGACGGCCAGGUUUUUCCAAAUGCCGCUGCAAUGCUGGCCGUCUCCACCCCACCGGGGAUGGGUCAGUACCUCCACCCAGCCGACGCGGCCGGGUCAUCGUCCCAAGCAGGGAUGAUGAACCUGAGAGCGCCCUUGCCGGACCUCAACGCCGCCUACAGCGGCGAGAUGCUGGAGCGAUACUACUACCCGGCCUCCUUCCCGACCUACAGCAACAACAACCUGCUGCACCAUGGACCAGAGCCUGCAUUUCCUCAGAUGUUUAGUGCCCAGGCACGCAUGCUUGCUGCAUGCACGAACCUGAAAUUGUUCCCGCUCCCUCAGUACCUCGGUGGCGGCUACUACGGCGGCGAGACGGGCAGCAGUAGCGCCGGUGGCAGCAGUGAUCAGGACGAAGACGUGGUCCAGAUGGCCUCGAGGGAGUUCCAGACGUCCGAUGACGAGACCACACUGGACCUCACUGGUUUCAACUGA
rnacentral:rRNA from 1 species